rnacentral:rRNA from 1 species
UUCCGGUUGAUCCUGCCAGAGGUCACUGCUAUCGGGGUUCGAUUAAGCCAUGCGAGUCGAGAGGGUUCGGCCCUCGGCGUACUGCUCAGUAACACGUGGAUAACCUGCCCUAAGGAAGGGGAUAACCCCGGGAAACUGGGGAUAAUACCCUAUAGGUUACAGAUGCUGGAAUGCUCUGUAACCGAAAGCCCCGGCGCCUUAGGAUGGAUCUGCGGCCGAUUAGGUUGUUGUCGGGGUAACGGCCCAACAAGCCAGUAAUCGGUACGGGUUGUGGGAGCAAGAGCCCGGAGUUGGAUUCUGAGACACGAAUCCAGGCCCUACGGGGCGCAGCAGGCGCGAAAACUUUACAAUGCGGGCAACCGUGAUAAGGGAACCUCGAGUGCCUGUAUAUGCAGGCUGUCUGGGUGUCUAAAACACACCUAAAGAAAGGGCCGGGCAAGACCGGUGCCAGCCGCCGCGGUAAUACCGGCGGCUCGAGUGGUGGCCACUUUUAUUGGGCUUAAAGCGUUCGUAGCUGGGUUAUUAAGUCCCUUGGGAAAUCCGACGGCUUAACCGUCGGGCGUCUAAGGGAUACUGGUAAUCUUGGAACCGGGAGAGGUGAGGGGUACUUCGGGGGUAGGAGUGAAAUCCUGUAAUCCUCGAGGGACCACCUGUGGCGAAGGCGCCUCACCAGAACGGCUUCGACAGUGAGGGACGAAAGCUGGGGGAGCAAACCGGAUUAGAUACCCGGGUAGUCCCAGCCGUAAACGAUGUGCGUUAGGUGUAUCGGUGACCACGAGUCACCGAGGUGCCGAAGGGAAACCGUGAAACGUACCGCCUGGGAAGUACGGUCGCAAGGCUGAAACUUAAAGGAAUUGGCGGG